rnacentral:piRNA from 1 species
UCCACGUAUGGUAUUUCAAUU